UUGGGUGCUGCUCUGAGCAGCAUCACCCUUUACACCAGAAAGCUGGCGGGCACUAUGGGGAAAAAACAAAACAAGAAGAAAGUGGAGGAAGUGCUAGAAGAGGAGGAAGAGGAAUAUGUGGUGGAAAAAGUUCUCGACUGUGGAGUGGUAAAGGGCAAAGUGGAGUACCUCCUAAAGUGGAAGGGGUUCUCAGAUGAGGAUAACACAUGGGAGCCAAAAGAGAACCUGGAUUGCCUCGAACUCAUUGCUGAGUUUCUGCAGUCACAGAAAACAGCACAUGAGACAGAUAAAUCAGAGGGAGGCAAGCGCAAAGCUGAUUCUGAUUCUGAAGAUAAGGGAGAGGAGAGCAAACCAAAGAAGAAGAAAGAAGAGUCAGAAAAGCCACGAGGCUUUGCUCGAGGUUUGGAGCCGGAGCGGAUUAUUGGAGCUACAGACUCCAGUGGAGAGCUCAUGUUCCUGAUGAAAUGGAAAAACUCUGAUGAGGCUGACCUGGUCCCUAACAAGGAAGCCAAUGUCAAGUGCCCACAGGUUGUCAUAUCCUUCUAUGAAGAAAGGAUGACAUGGCAUUCCUACCCCUUGGAGGAUGAUGACAAAAAAGAUGACAAGAAUUAA